rnacentral:rRNA from 1 species
UACGAAGGGGGCUAGCGUUGUUCGGAAUUACUGGGCGUAAAGCGCGUGUAGGCGGGUCUUUAAGUCCGGGGUGAAAUGCCAAGGCUCAACCUUGGAACUGCCUUUGAUACUGGAGACCUUGAGUCCGGGAGAGGUGAGUGGAAUUGCGAGUGUAGAGGUGAAAUUCGUAGAUAUUCGCAAGAACACCAGUGGCGAAGGCGGCUCACUGGCCCGGAACUGACGCUGAGACGCGAAAGCGUGGGGAGCAAACAGG